GUCUUGUUGGUAAAAUUUCUUUACUGGUUAAUAAUUCAGUUUUGGUUCAAUAGUAAUGAAGUAAAGAGUCAUUGUUAUUUGCGAAUUAUCAUCGUUAUUUUUAGUGCUUUAAAAAACAUGGGUAAAAUUGUGUAUCUCAUUUUUGUGGGGGUUGUGAUCUUUGGAAUAUUUGCAUCAACCAACGGACAAAACGUCACCACCACGGCAAGACCCAGGACACCUUCGGCCCCCCGACAGGUCAAACCGUGUAUAAAACAUCCCCCAGAUUUCCAGCAAAUCAGCCUCCCAUGCGCCGGAAGGACGCGAGAGGAAUGCCUCUCCGAAUGCAAAGGACUUGGUCAUACUCGAGCGUACUGCAAAAAAGAACACUUUUGUCUCUGCCAUUCCGGUGACUUGUACAGUUGUUAAAAUAAUCAGGCAAAAAAAAUCGUGCAAAUUUUAUGGUACAUACAUACAUAUUACAUUUUAUUGUAAUAUACUUAAAGUAGCUGUCGCUUAUCUUUUGUACUUAUAUAUUUUCAGUACAUGUAAAAUUUUCUAUACACACAAAUUAUAUUUACAAUGGCACAAACUUAAUAAUAAUAUAACGAAUAAUAUAAUAAUACUAAAUAGUAUGUUAGAAGAGAAAACAACAUAUUUUUUCCCUACGUAAUGUAACCUUACACUGAAAAACUUAUCAAUUAACAAGAAAUAAAAUAGUGGUGCAAAAUAUA